GACGAACGCUGGCGGCGUGCUUAACACAUGCAAGUCGAACGGAAAGGCCCUGCUUUUGUGGGGUGCUCGAGUGGCGAACGGGUGAGUAACACGUGAGUAACCUGCCCUUGACUUUGGGAUAACUUCAGGAAACUGGGGCUAAUACCGGAUAGGAGCUCCUGCUGCAUGGUGGGGGUUGGAAAGUUUCGGCGGUUGGGGAUGGACUCGCGGCUUAUCAGCUUGUUGGUGGGGUAGUGGCUUACCAAGGCUUUGACGGGUAGCCGGCCGGAGGGGGUGACCGGCCACAUGGGGACUGAGAUACGGCCCAGACUCCUACGGGGGGCAGCAGGGGGGAAUAUUGCAAAAGGGGCGGAAGCCUGAUGCAGCAACGCCGGGGGGGGGAUGGCGGCCUUCGGGUUGUAACCCGCUUUCCCCUGGGACGAAGCGUGAGGGACGGUAAGGGGGAAAGAAGCACCGGGUAACUACG
rnacentral:rRNA from 1 species